CAACUUUUAGUGUAACUUUUGAACCCCUUUUAUCCUUUAUCUUGAAAAACAUCCUUAUUUUAAAUAAGGAAUGUAAUAUUAGGGGUUAUUCCUAUCACCUAUUCAUUCACAUUCAUCAAUGAGAUCUUUAUAUAUUUGCCUUCCCCCCUGAGUCAGACACAGCAUACCACAGAAUCUCCUUGUAAAGAAAAAAAUCCACACCAUUAUAGUCUUUGCAAAAUAUUGUCAAGUUUCUUGUAUAUUUUCUUGAACCUGCAAACCUAUUUGCUCAUCAAGUAGCAUGCCAAAUGGUGGAAAGACUGUUGAUUUAUGAAGAACUGGGAUUUUGGUGGUUGAUGAAUGAAGGAAAUAGGUGUAAAAGGUUGUGCCUGGCUCCCUGCAUGCCACACAUUAACAGCAAUCCGGUGGCGGAUUCGCCAUGGAUGGGUGCCAUGUGGGGAGUCAAGCAUGCCAAAACUCCAUUUUCUUUCUUGUUCCCCUCUACCCUAGACCUUCUUCUUUAUAUUAUGAUAAUUUCCUCGUAUCUGAUGUAAUUUUUUUAUUGUCCUUUCAAUUCUUUAACAACAUAUUUCUGAUUCUUUUUUUUUUUUUUAAUCUUUUUCAGGCUGGAAAUCAAGACUCGACACAGAGAGAAAGGAGAGAAACAUUUAAUUUUUGGUUGCUGUUCAAUUUCUCAGUUUUUUUACAGAUUAGUUGUGCUGCUGCACUUGGAUUUCUAUGUUGUUUUGAUAGAGCCUCAAUUUGUAUCACUUGGGGCCUUCUAUUUCCUUUGUAUAAUCACUUACUUCGACUGAUUACUAGUAAAAUUAUUCUCUUUACCUUAUUAUAAUUUUUUUGCCCUUUUUGAAAAAAUAUAUAUAAUUACUUCGAGUUAUGUCCUGAUUAUGGAUAAACUUUGUCUCAAUGCUGACAAACACAAUUUGAGAA
rnacentral:lncRNA from 1 species